rnacentral:lncRNA from 1 species
CUUUGAGUUGAAAACCUGAGGAAAGCGAGUAAGCAUGUUGUGGGGAAUGCCCAUUAUGUUGUGCAGGUAGUCAAAUGUCUGUCUGAGUCUCUUUUUACUUGCAGUUAAAAUCUUGGGGGUUUUAAAUGCAAUCUGCUGAACUUCAUUACGUUCAAAACCAAAUUCAACCUGACAAACCUGGAGAUUCUCUUUUACAGGCUCUAAUUUGCCAGUCAGCAGCCUUGGAAAACGAAUUACCAGAUCCUUUGUCUUUUUUACACUGAGGCCGAGUUCAUUUUUGAAGAAACCCAGUCUGUUAUCCAGUCUUUCCACUGAAAACAACAGUAAAUAUGGAGCUCUUGAGACCAUCUGAGUAAUUUCUGCAUUACCAAAUUUUUUUGAUUUUAGGUAAGCCACUCUGGUUUCUAGAGCUUCCAGAUCUUCACCAAGGAUGUAUGGAUUUUUGGUCAGGAACGGUCCCAGUUGAUUGUCUUCUAUACCCACAUCCUUCAGAAACAGAAGUAUUUUAGUUAUAUCUUUUUCAAAGUCCAAGGUCAGUAAGAGUUGACCUGCCUUUUGACGUUUCUCCACUUGAGAUAAGUCAACUCCUACAACAAAUAAAAUGAGAGAUAGUUUUAGUUAAACACAGACCUGAUUUCCUAUAAAUGUUUCAGAAGGUCAUGCUGAAGUUUCUAAGGAGUAAUACAUAUAUAUUUUUUAUUUUAUUUUCCUCUUAUUUAGCAUACCUUGCUAAC